rnacentral:lncRNA from 1 species
UGACACAUCUUUAAAAAAUUAGAGUUUGUCUCUCAUUCUGAAGGAAGUUUUCUGGUUAAAUCUUAGUUACUCAGAGACCAAAGCUGAAAUCUUCUUCUCCUUACCUUGCAAGCCAAGGACCAGUGGAGGCAACUGAGAGACCAGACCUGGAAUGGACCUCGUCUGCCUCACGGGGAACCACAAGGAUGGCUGCUCGAAGACCGAGGCCGAAGUCCAGCACUCCUUCCUCCCCGGCAGCUCAACAGACUGGCAUGGCCUCACAUGACUUUCUUCAUGUUACUUCCACUCCCCAAACUUCUACAUCUACAAAAAUGCCAGAGCGAGAGACUGGUAAAUGGCAUUUAUUUUAUACUCUAUCCUUGAUUUUUCUUUACAUUUGAGUGGUACAAUUUGAUGUCUG